rnacentral:rRNA from 1 species
UACGUAGGGCGCGAGCGUUGUCCGGAAUUAUUGGGCGUAAAGAGCUCGUAGGUGGCUUGUUGCGUCUGCCGUGAAAGCCCGUGGCUUAACUACGGGUCUGCGGUGGAUACGGGCAGGCUAUAGGCUGGUAGGGGCAAGCGGAAUUCCUGGUGUAGCGGUGAAAUGCGUAGAUAUCUGGAGGAACACCGGUGGCGAAGGCGGCAUCCUGGACCAACACUGACACUGAGGAGCGAAAGCCAGGGGAGCAAACGGG